rnacentral:rRNA from 1 species
CACGUAGGGGGCAAGCGUUGUCCGGAUUUAUUGGGCGUAAAGAGCUCGUAGGUGGUUCGGUAAGUCGGGUGUUAAACCCCCAGGCUCAACCUGGGGACGCCACUCGAUACUGCUGUGACUAGAGUCCGGUAGGGGAGCGUGGAAUUCCUGGUGUAGCGGUGAAAUGCGCAGAUAUCAGGAGGAACACCAGCGGCGAAGGCGGCGCUCUGGGCCGGUACUGACACUGAGGCGCGAAAGCUAGGGGAGCAAACAGG